UGGGGAAUAUUGGACAAUGGGCGAAAGCCUGAUCCAGCCAUGCCGCGUGUGUGAAGAAGGUCUUCGGAUUGUAAAGCACUUUAAGUUGGGAGGAAGGGCAUUAACCUAAUACGUUAGUGUUUUGACGUUACCGACAGAAUAAGCACCGGCUAACUCUGUGCCAGCAGCCGCGGUAAUACAGAGGGUGCAAGCGUUAAUCGGAAUUACUGGGCGUAAAGCGCGCGUAGGUGGUUUGUUAAGUUGGAUGUGAAAUCCCCGGGCUCAACCUGGGAACUGCAUUCAAAACUGACUGACUAGAGUAUGGUAGAGUGUGGUGGAAUUUCCUGUGUAGCGGUGAAAUGCGUAGAUAUAGGAAGGAACACCAGUGGCGAAGGCGACCACCUGGACUAAUACUGACACUGAGGUGCGAAAGCGUGGGGAGCAAACA
rnacentral:rRNA from 1 species